rnacentral:lncRNA from 1 species
ACGAUCAGAAACUCUAUUCGGAGCUGCAGCUCAGAAAAAUGUCAGUCUCUAACAUUUCGAUCUUCCUUUAAUGUUGAAAAGAAAGAGAAAUGUCUAUAAAUAUAACUUAGAAAGGAGAAAAACAACUAGGCUGGACGGCCUUGGUUAAAAUAUUUUGAUAAGAAUAUAUACAAAGGAAUACCUUAUCAAAUAUAUUUAGGCCUCUUUUGUUUUUUUAAGAUUAAGACGUCUGAAUCUGAAUACAUAUCU